AUUGAACGCUGGCGGCAUGCUUUACACAUGCAAGUCGGACGAGUGGCGAACGGGUGAGUAAUAUAUCGGAAUGUACCGAGUAGUGGGGGUUAACUAAUCGAAAGAUUAGCUAAUACCGCCUAUUAUUCGAGCGGCCGAUAUCUGAUUAGCGAGGUGGUGGGGUAAAGGCCUACCAAGGCGACGAUCAGUAGCGGGUCUGAGAGGAUGAUCAGCCACACUGGAACUGAGACACGGCCCAGACUCCUACGGGAGGCAGCAGUGGGGAAUAUUGGACAAUGGGCGCAAGCCUGAUCCAGCCAUGCCGCGUGUCUGAAGAAGGCCUUCGGGUUGUAAAGGACUUUAGUCAGGGAAGCGUUACCUAAAGAAUAAGCACCGGCUAACUACGUGCCAGCAGCCGCGGUAAUAC
rnacentral:rRNA from 1 species